rnacentral:lncRNA from 1 species
UGAAAACCUCACCUCUAGGAAUCAUUUUUGUGAAGGCAUCAGAUUCCAGAGAUGCAGGGGCCAUCCGCAGUCUGGAUGCUGACAGGUACAGGGCCUUCAGCACAAGUAAGUCGCUAUAUUCUCUACUCAAACUAUGAGUGAGCUCUGGGCAUGGCAUCUUAGUCAGUGGAACUGGAGAUUCUGAGUCUCCAGAUGCUUUGAAGUGGGCAUGUGUUGCAUUUUGCCUCCCCAAAUCCAGUUCUCAUAGUUUUACCGGGUGAGGCUCAGAUUCCACUUUUCUGAGCCCGCAUGUUUUGCUGGAGCUUUUGUCCAGGGAGGGGCAUGUGACCCAGUCUAAGCCAAUCAGUGCACUCCAUCCCUCUGGCUGCAAUGAUUGGUUCAGGCAUGUGCACAUGUCUGGGCCAGUCAGUUUCGGUUCUGAGCUUUGGUUUGGACUUAGCUUCUAUUGGCCUAGGGGUUAUGUAGACAUGAGCCUCUGGCUGCUAGAGUCCCAGGAGCUGGGGAAGAGGGCUACCCCAGGAAGCAGAGGAGGACAGGGCUAUCCCGGGAAUCAGAGGUGGGGGUUGGGAGUGAUAGGUCUCUGAUUCAUUCCUGCCCAAAGCCAGCUCACCCUUUGGGCUUUUCGCUUCUGUGAGCCAAUACAUUCUCUUCUGUCUCAAGCCUUCUUGGGUUGGAUUAUCUAUCACUGAAGACCAAGAGUACCCUAAUUGCCCUGCCCAUCUAUUCCCUGCCUCACCUGUAUCUCUACAUCAAUUCUGUCACAAGAAUGGUGGAGGUAAUUCUGAUGCCCACCCUCUCAUGGCUGUUGAGAAAAAUCCUGAGCUCGAGUGCUUGGAAAACUUCUUUGGCCUGACGACAAUGACGACGACGAUGAUAACAAUACUGGCAAAACCCCAGGCUUUUCCAAACUUCUCAGCAGUCGCAUGGCAAGUUCACACCAUCUUCUGCUGGCAAGAUGUGGCAAAUGUUGCAGCUCAGCGCUCUCAAAUGUGCCCACUGAAGCAGGACUGAGGGAUGGGACCCCACACCAGAACAGCUGGAGUAGGGAAAGACUCCCAUAUAGGACGUUAAUCAUUUCUCAUCAUAGAAGCCCAUAAAAAUCCAUCUUUUGCUACCCGACAAGGUAUGAGAUAAUGAAAGAAGAUUGCUUAAAAUGUAAAUCAUUUGGAUCUGUUGGUAACACUGUUUAGAAUUAAAUUCAUGUGUAAUAGAACUUCCGAUCAGAAAUGAUCAGUUUCCCGGACAAAGCCAUCGUAAGUUCCAUAAUUUCAUAUGGAUGCUUCCAAUGCUAAUGGAGCCGGUACAGUUCACUUGAUAAUGCGCUAGGCAGAGAGGAUCAUUUUUCCUGGUUCUGUAACUAGCAAACAUGACUGCAAAUCAUUCACUCCAGUUGCUCCUGUCCAGCAUCCCAGAGGGGUACAUCUCACACCUUUCCUGUACAUCUCCCGCCUCCCCGCCCCACAGCUCCUCCCUGGGCUGGGAGAAGACACUCCCUAAGGUCUAGGAGUGAACCCAGGGCCUGAUGAAAGUCAGGGUCCCUCCUCAGUCUCUGGGCCUCCUGCCACCUUCCUCUGCGGUGCCCCACACCUGGCGAGAGCUGGCUUGGAGCCCAAAGGGUAGCAGAGGUGGUCUACUCCAGGGCUUCCUUUGGGCUCACCCCUGAAGCCCAGUGAGCUCCGGAGCAUUCAAUGUGUACCGCUACUGGCACGUGCUACAGAACAUGGCAAUAAAUGACGUUGAAUCAAAUGCCA